rnacentral:rRNA from 1 species
CCUACGGGAGGCAGCAGUGGGGAAUAUUGCACAAUGGGGGAAACCCUGAUGCAGCGACGCCGCGUGAGUGAAGAAGUAUUUCGGUAUGUAAAGCUCUAUCAGCAGGGAAGAGAAUGACGGUACCUGAGUAAGAAGCCCCGGCUAACUACGUGCCAGCAGCCGCGGUAAUACGUAGGGGGCAAGCGUUUUCCGGAUGUACUGGGUGUAAAGGGAGCGUAGGCGGGUAAGAAAGUCUGAAGUGAAAGCCCGAGGCUCAACCGCGGAACUGCUUUGGAAACUUUUGUGCUGGAGUGCCGGAGAGGUAAGCGGAAUUCCUGGUGUAGCGGUGAAAUGCGUAGAUAUUAGGAGGAACACCAGUGGCGAAGGCGGCUUACUGGGCGGUAACUGACGUUGAGGCUCGAAAGCGUGGGGAGCAAACGGGAUUAGAUACCCUUGUAGUC